CUCACAACCAGCUGUAACUUGAGUUCCAGGGGAUCCAACAUCUUCUUCUGUUUUGUUUUUUGUUUUUGUCACCUACAUGCAUGUUGUACACAUAAAUUCAUGCUGGUGAACACAUAUACACAUAAAAUAGAUAAAUCUUCUUUAAAAGAUUAAAGGUGUGAGGUUAGUUGUCUUUCGGGAGCCUCCAUUUAGCAUCUGUGACCUCUGGCUUCAUCCCGAGUGUGUUGAGGAGUCUCUGGCUUGGGGCUUCUGUAUUACCCCCCACAGUCCAGAGUCUCUUCUGUCUUGUGGUAGCACAUACAGGUGUUCAUUGGUAUCUAGAACUGGGUCCAUGUUCCAUUGAGUUUGUUUCUAACUCAUGACUUUUGGUAAAUUACGUAAAGUGAAGUUUAGUGAGAUAAAAAAAUAAUCCAUAGAGUUGUUAGGAAGACGAAAUGCCAGUUAUAGCAAAUAUACAUCCAGCAUUUAUUAUAUAUUAGAUAUUUGUUACUUUUCUGUUGCUUUGAUAAAACACCAUGACCAGACUUUGUGGUUCCAUCCCCAUCACAGCCGGGAGGCAUACACAGUGGCUGAAGGAGCAAGCUGACAGCUCACAUCUUGAGCCACAAGCACAAAGCAGAGAGAGCAAACUAGAAAUGGUGCAAGUCUCUAGAUCCUCAGAGCCCAUCCCAGCAACAUAUUUUAUCCAACAAGACCACACCUCCUAGACCUCUCCAAAUAGUGCCACCAACUGGGGACUGAGUGUUCAAUUAUCUGAGCCUGUGAUGGCAUUUUCAUUCAAACCACUGCAGUAUUCUAAAUGCAUUACUUCAUUUAAACCUUAGAACACAUAUUUACAGAUAAGAACAUGGCCUAAAGGAUUGAGCUCAGAAGUGGUAGAGAAUGAAUUUUAGCCUAAGUUGUGCACAGAUUUCAGGUUUUUAGUCAUUGACUAAAAAUACAUGACACACUUUGUUAGCAUAUCCAGGCCAUCACAUCGUAAUUACUCAUACUGAAGGUAAGUAACAUCAGCACCAGCCCCUUUCUGGCAGUUUGUGGAGUAACCUCUGAGGAAGAGGAACAGACUUUCAUUCUGAUGUUGCAGUUGAGUUCUGCUAUCUCCUGGCAGGGUUGCUACCUGUUUUGGGUUUUUUUUUUUUGCCUCAACCGUUAGAGAAGACUGCCCUUUUCACCAGGCCACUAAAACAGAGUUGCAUAAUUCUAGAAUCCAACAACAUUGAUUUCAUUAUUUUCAUCCAACUUGUGUUGUUGUUUUUGUUAUUGUUGUGGUUGUUGUUGUUGGUGGUGGUGGUGUGUGUGAUUUGCUUGUGUGCACCUGUGCCAUGGUACAUACAAUGUAGAGGUCAAAGGCUGCUUCUUGGGGGUCAGUUCUCUUCCUCCUACCGUAGGAUCUGAGGAUCAACUGGCAACACUUUCACCCACGGAGUCAUCUCAGCUGCCUUGUGUUGUAACCACUUUAUUGAGAGAAAGUUCACCUACCACCCCAUUCACCCAUACAAAGUUUAAGUCAGUGACUCCUAGUGUAUUUAUAAUUGUACCUAUUACCACAGUCAUAAAAGCAUUUUUUCACCUCAAAAUGAAACCCUGUACCUUCAGUGAUUAUCUUCUAUUUCCCCCAUUUCUUGCAACCUAAGUAAUCACCCUUCUGCUCUCCUGUCCCUAAAAGAGACAUUUAUAGAUAUUUCAUGUGCAUGGGAUGAUAAUGCUUCUUUAACUUAGCCUAAUAUUUUCCUUUUUUCAUAUUUUAAGACUUAAAAUUUUACCUGGCUUUUGAGAAUUUCAUAUAGGUGUGUAUUUUGAUCAUAUCCACCCCCUAUUCACUCCCCAAUUUUCCCCAGACACUUCUGCAUAUCCCCUUCUCAACUUCAUAUUGUCUUCAUAAUCCACUGAAUCCAACUAGUGCUGCCUGCUAGUAGGAUUACCCACUGGAGCAUGGGCAACCUAUGAGGCCAUACCUCUGAAAACAGCUGACUGUCCCCCCCAGCAGCCAUCACUGCCUAUUACUCUCAGCCAACAGUGGAGCCUCAUGAGCUCUCCGUCUAUGCUGGAAUCUUGACUGGCUUGAUCUUGUACAAAUCUUGAACAGGCAGCCACAGUUGCUGUGAGCCCAUGAGUCCAAUAGCCUGCCAUGUACAGAAGACACUAUUUCACAACAGAGCAUGUUUUCAAAGUUCAUCUCUGUUGUAGCAUAUGUCAGUAAUCAGUACUUUGAUCCUUUUUAUGGUUGACUGAUAGUCCAUUGCCCAGAUAUAUUAUAUUUUGUUAACCUAUUUCAGUUGAAGAACAUUUGGAUUCUUUCUACCUUUUAGGUUUUAUGAAUGAUAGUGCAUAUGUAGUUGUAUGGAUCUGUGUCAUUUCUCUUGGAUAAUGUACCUAGAAGAGGAAUUCAUGGAUCAUGUGGUUACUUUGUUUAAUGAAGUGACAGUCUGUUUUCCAAAGUGUGUGCAUCAUUUUAAAUCCCACUAGAAGUGUGUAAAAAUACAUUCUACAUUCUUUGCUAGUUUUUGUCAGCUGCUGGAUUGUUGGUAGAGAAAGAAUCAUGAAUGCUUCUUGUUCUGUCAUGCUCUCCCUUCACAGUGGUUUAGUAUAACAGUGCCUGAUUCUGCUGUCAUCUACAGCUGCCAGGUCAUAUGAUGUGCCAUGGCAGUGAAAGUUUCGCAGAUGAUCAGCUGCCAUAUUCAAACUUUGCACAGGCUUUAACUCAAGUGUAAAGAGCCUUCAGUGAGUUGUUCUUCUGCAGUUAGUAUAUAGUAUAAACUUGCCCAGCAGUUGGAGUUUUCUUCAUCUGCCCCAGUGGCAUCUCCAUAUUUCUUCAUACCCCUCUCAGAAGCUAACAGCAUUUUGCAGUUUGCCAUCUUCUCUAGUUGCCCAGUGACUCUCUGUUUAAACUGACUUAUUUCUGGCUUGAUUAAUUUUCUGUCUCUAAGAUAAACUGUUUGCCCUCUUUCUGAAGAAGGCUUUGCUGAUACAUGCUAGUCUAAAUUAUUCCAAGAACAUUUUUACUUGCUAGUGUUGUCCAUGGAGCUAUAGUUAAAUUUACUUGUCUGUUGGUAAACUGUAAACCCCACAAUACCAUUCUCCACGGCAUAAAACUCCUUACCAUUCACUGUUCCCAAGUACAACAGGCAGGGAUUGUGUCAUUUAUCUCUGAGUCCUCAGACCUCGCCCAAAGUCGGAGAGAGUAUAAAUGUGUCAAACACUUUGUUUGUAUUGGAGCUAAAGAGAUGGUUAAAAGAUCUGGCUGUUCUUCCAGAGAACCUGGGUUUUGAUUCUCAGCACCCACAUGGUGGCUCACAAUCCAGCUCUAGGGAUUCUAGUGCCUUUGUUUGGCCUCCAUGGGUACCAGACACACAAGUAAUACAUAGACAUGCAUGCAGACAGAACACUUGUGCAUAAGAAAUAAAAAUAAAUGAAAAAAAUUGGUUGUGUGAAUGACCGCAAUGAACCUAGCCUUAGCUGUAGUGUGUGUGACCUCUUCAUUUACAGCCAAGUUAUUGUAGACCAUCUACAAAAUCUCCCAUAGCUUCUCCAUCUGAACAUUUCCUGUUUUUCCUCCUGUAGUGAAACCUGCCUGUGACUGGAAGACACAUUUCCUCUGUAUACUGAAAGUGGUGGCUGAUGUUUGUCUUGUAGUCCUUGUUACCCUGAUGGUGACAUGGAGCUGGAUUCCCCCUUCUCCACUCACUUCUUCCUGCUCCUCCUCAGUCUCCUCCCCAACAUACCCACUUUGAAUUGUACUUCAUCACAUUUUGCCAUUUCUGUGCUUCACUGCAGAACUCUUCCUAGAGAUAACUUGGCUCAUGGCACUCUCUAAUAUAUGUCCUUUUGUGAGUCUCAGUAUCUAUAUGUUUGGAUAGAUGAUUAUUGCAGAUUGUGGUCUGUUUUACUCACUGUCUUUCAAUGAUGUCAUUUUCUACUGUGUGUUCAGCACGUAUUUUCAUUGGGCACAUCCUAGUCAUUAUCAUUUCUCCUUUAAAAAUUUCUGCUCUGAUGAUCACUGGUUUCCUGGCUGUUGUACUGCCCCCAUUCAUAGAGCCGACCACCUUCCCAUUGCCUUUCUUCUCACGUGGCUUAGAUCCCUUUGGAGGAUCUUAUAUGCUUCUUCAUCUGUCCCCAAACCUCCUGAGCAUCACCUCUUGUCUUUGCUGUUGUCUGUGGUGAGGAGGCAGAGGUGGUCAGAGGCUCCCAUCCUCUCCAUCUGCAUGCUCCUUUCUGUCCCUUCUCCUUGAUGUUUUCCUUGCUACUAGAUCAUUCCUUCUGACAUAGAAUCAGGUUGUAAUUUCUCCUAGCCUUAAAAAAAAAAGUCUCCUCCCCUUUGUCCCUCAUACUUUUUUCUCAGUUGUCUGUCACUGCUGUCAUCUACUUCUCCCCCAUUAUCACUUGGAGCAGCUGUUACCUUUCAUUCCUCAUCUUAGCCUGUAGUCAGGCUUUUCUGUCCUGUCCCAGUCCACAGCCGCUUUCAAAUGAUCACUCAGAGGCUUAUAUUACUUACAGUUGUUUGAAUGAUGGCUCAGGAUUAUUACCUACUAGCUCUUACAUUUAAGUUAAGCCAUUUCUAUUAAUCUUCGUUCACCACGUAGCCCGUGCCUUACUGGUGCUCUGGCAUCUUGCUCCUUCAGCAUCUGCUGGUGUCUGCUCUGAUUCCACCCUUCUUCUCCCUGUAUCUUUGCUUGGAUUUCCAACCUGGCUAUAACCUGUCUUGCCAUAGGCCAAGGCAACUUCUUUAUUAACCAAUAGUAACAACACAUAUUCACAGCAUAUAGAAUGACCAUCCUACAGCAUUAGCCUGUUAACAGCAUCUGACCAUUUAGUUACAGUUUUCUGCCUGUUUUUUUUUUUUUUUUUUUUU